GGAAUAGUAUAUAUGUCUGCAUCACUGUGUUCUGUAUGCACUGACAUGUGACCCUGACUCACAUCCUGUCACUGCUAUCCCUCAUUUCUUCACAGAUGAAAGAAUAUCAACUCAAUUUCAGGCAUUUUCCAAUGUACAAAUGUUGCUGAAGAACAGAAUUGAUGAAAGAAACAAAAGCAGAAAAGAAGACAGGAAAGCAGACGAUAUCCCUGAUGAAGUUCAUCGAGUUCGGUUGACUUUGACAAAACACGAUAACAUAAAUGCUGUAUAUAUUAAUGGAUAUAUGAAAACUAAUAGAUUCAUCGCAGCUCAUACCCCUUUACCGAAUUCUAUAGAAGACUUCGUAUCAAUGUUAUAUCAGGAAAGGUGCCCUUGUGUUGUUUGUCUCGAUGAGGAAAAUAUCAAAGAUAAGACGGUAGGGCAGUUUCUUCCACCAACCAACAAAGUUUCUAUAUUUGGUCAUUUUCAAGUGUCAUGUUUGAAGAGUGACUAGAGAGCAAAUUUUGUCAUCCGGAAGUUGAAAAUCUCGCAAACUGGAUCGCCGACAGAGGAGGAAUUGUAUAUCCGGCACUACCAGUUCAAAGGUUGGAGCAACGCUGAAAGUGUCCACUCUAGUGUCAAACCUUUCUUGAAUCUUAUUUUAGAAAUUGAAAACAGUAUAAAACGCCAUAACUCCAAACAACCCGUCAUAGUGCAUUGUUUGGAUGGAACAAGAAGAUGUAGCCUUUUCUGUGUAGUUUCCAUACUUAUCGAGAAGUUUGCUACCAUGGAAGAACUAAGCGUCCUUAAUACAAUAUGUCAAGUUUGCUCGAGACAGCCGUCCUCAUUUCAAAACAUCGAACAUUUCCAGUUCUGCUACGACUGCGUCACUGAGCUGUUGAAGAUGUAUGACCGGAAUACCUACUGCAAUAUCAACAACGUGUAAACAAGUCAGACAAAUGGUAGACAGAUACACUCUGCUUUGAAGCCUUUCAUGAAUUGUCUAUGUGGAUUUAAUAAUUAUUUCGAUGCACAACAUACAAUAAUCUUUAAUGGUGCCAAUGCCUUUUGAUGUAAUAGCCAUUUGCUUGUUGUCCUUUGUUUUCCAAUGCGAGUAAUGGUUUAUCGUAAACGAAAAUGAGAUAGGAAACCUGCUCGCGGACUUGCAGUAGACAGAUGCAUUAAAUGAUGCUUCCUUAACUUAAAGUUAUGCAGAAAAUGAUUGUUUCCUUGAACGUUUCCCUUCCCUGACUAAGAGAUAAUGUAAACGAUCGUUUCCCUCCCCUGUCAUGUGAUAGUGCACAACUUCACAUGGUGAAUGAUAUUUCUGUAAUGUUUCAUGAUCCUAGGUUAAAUACGUUUUGAGAUACAUGCGACACAAACUUAAAUACAAUUUUAUGCAAACGUUAAUACUAAGUGAAGGGUCAUAAUUCUGGUAUGUCUGAAUGAAAUUUCUAACAAAGCCCAAGAUGAUCAACUUCACAUGCUAAAUAAUAGUUCUGUAAUGUCAUAGUUUUAGGUCAAAUACUUCUUGUGAUGCAUGCGACGCCAAAUCUGAGGCCCUUUGUAUGCAUAUUUUACUAAGCGAAUGGCCAUAACACUGGUUUAGUUGUGAGAAAUCCUGAUUAUAACACCAGGUUUACAAUAGAAGCUGUACUUUGUAUUGUGACUUUAUUGGCCCAAAAAGAUUAAUUCUUUGGUACAUGCCAAAGACAUUUGCGCUUUUUAAGGUAUCUGAUCCACAAAUAGGUAAACUUUCUAUGCCUGGUGACCCCAUAUUCACUGCGAAAUGAUAUAUUUUACACUGCAAUAACUGGAUUUCUGUUGGAGUAUAAUUGAAGGAUAUAAAGUAAAAAAAUAUUCUUUUACAUAUUUUGUCAUGUAAUAUAUAAUUUCUUUUUCAGUAGGUAAUACUUUUUCAAAUAAUACAUAAAUUAUUUGACCUUACUAAGCGUCAAUAUAUGAACUAUUUCAGUAGCACUGUUAUAUAGAACUUGCUUAUUUGUGGAUCGGAUACCUUAAACAGUCUGGUGUACACCAGGUGUCAUAUACCUGUUUUGUAUUUAUAUGCCUGUAUGUUUGUGUUGUUUUUAAUACAUCUUACUUGUAUGUCAUGUACGUACUAACAUUGUAAAUGAAAUGUAACAAGGCAGUCUGAAAUACAGCUAGAUCCCCCACAACUGCUAUGGAUAGUGAAAGGGUAAACAUUUGACCUUUAGCUGUGACCUUGACCUUGAACUGACAUGGCUGACUCAUGAAUUCUGCACAACGUCUUGUUGAGGUGAUCAUUUGACCCAAGUUUCAUGAAAAUCGUCCAAGGGGUUUAGGAGAUACAGAGCUCAAACCUUUGACCUUGAGUUGUGACCUUGACCUUGAGUUGACAUGGCUGACUCAUGAGUUCUUGAUGAGGUGAUCAUUUGACACAAGUUUGAUGAAAAUCCUUCAAGGGGUUUAGGAGAUACAGAGUGGACACAAAAUGGAAGGCUAAAAAAUUUGACCCUAAGUUAUGACCUUGACCUUAAGCCGGCAUGGCUGACUCAUGGGUUCUGCACAUCGUCAUGAUGAGGUGAUCAUUUGACCCAAGUUUUAUAAAAUUCCUUCAAGGGGUUUUGGAGAUAUAGAGCGGACACAAAAUGGAAGGCUCAAAUAUUUGACCUUGAGUUGUGAUCUUGACCUUGAGCCGACAAAGCUGACUCAUGGGUUCUGCACAUUGUCUUGAUGAGGUGAUCAUUUGACCUAAGUUUCAUGAAAAUCCUUCAAGGGAUUUAGGAGAUAUCGAGCGGACACGAAAGUGUUACGAACGGACGGAAAGACGGACGGACGGACGGACGGAAGGACGGACGGAGACCAUUCCUACAACCCCCACCACUUGUGGCGGGGGAUUAAAAAUGUGUUGUCUUUUGUUGUUUCCCUUAAUAAUGGAACACUCAUGUUUGAGCUACGUGCCAUAGCACCGCCCUUUAAAUGCACCAAGAUAAAAUAUAUCAAAUAAUCGGGAGGUAAAUAGUAAUUUUAUACCAAAAUAACUAUCUUCUGCGGUUAAAAUUGUGAUGAUAUGUUUAGGUGUGCCGUUAUUUGUCAACAUUUACUAUAGACACGUGCCAGAUUGAUAAAGGCACGCGCCUAUUACACUACAUACCUUAUGAAUUUAACACUGUUGAACAAAAAAAAUUGACUGCUCCCCACCUUAUAACCUGUAUAGAUGUUAUCUCGAUGGUGUGUAUAAUUUGAUAUUGGCAAAACGGAUAUCAAUGUCUAAGAUUUAGAUAAAUGUUGAAAUAUGAAACGUAAGCUCACGAUAAAAUGUAAAGAUAUACAUAUUUAAACGUUUUGAUUGUGAAUGUAUUAGACUAGCCACUAUGAUUUUUUCUUUUUUUAUGUUCAUAGAGACAAAAGUCAGUCUAUUCUAGAAAUUUUCUAAGACGACUGUUGUUAAAAUUAUCAUAUGAUAUUGGACAUAUGAUAUAGACUAGCUCAGUUCACUACAUUAUAUUAUAAAAAUGUAAAAAGAUUUAUAUCAUAGUCUAGGAGCUAGUCUAUGAAUGUAUAAUUAUGUGAAGUUGUGGUACUAAAUAAAACUCUUUUUUUUUCUUGAGAUACUUCAAGGAACACAUUCUUCUGUACACAGUGCCUAAUAAUCUAUAUAAUUAUGUCUUCUGGUACGCUAAAGAAAACAAUAGGAAGCUUUUGCUUUGAGCUUAUCGCUGUUUUUCAGUAGCAUUUCAGUUAUGUGACGGCGGGCAGGCAGUUAACCUAACCAGUUUUCAUGAUUCUGAACGAGUACUAACCUGGUCUCUGCAAGUAACUGCCAACUUUUCCACGUGAGCCAGAGGUGAACGACGAAUGAUGUCAGAUACAAUGUAUUUUAUCAAUCAUCAUGCAGAUAAAAAAAAUCGCCUCACCCGAAAUGCAAUAAAUCAACAUGAAAUAAAAAUCAAAAAUACUUGUCAAAACAAUUGCGAACAAAAACAAUAUUAUGUAAAUUUAUAUUAUUGGACGUUUUGGACUUAAACUACAUUAAUCUUAGUUCGACUCCCAAAAUCAGUAGUGUAAGCCUAUAUUUGUAUUGUUUUUUUUUCUUGUUUUUUUUUUAUCUGAAAAAACUACAAAAUAAAUCAUGUAAGUUAAUUUAAUCCUGAUAAGAUUUGUCAUUUCUGAUAGAAAAUAAACGCACAUACUAAUGUUUAAGUACAUAUUGCCGUUGAAUACAUAUACGGAUGUCUUGUAUUUUGGUUGUUUUAACAUGUGCAAAUGUUGAGUUCUGCUCAACCCAAGGCUAGAAGACGGGGACAGUAGAAUGCGUUUCCAAUACUGCCAAUCAAGCGGAGCCUGUGACAUUUUCACUUUUGUUCUUCCGAGCGAUCUGUGCAGUUUUCCUUUUUUGUUUUAUAUGAUUUAUAAUGUUAUUUGUUGUUCUUUUAUAUUUUAAAGCAAAAUCCGGUCAUCAACCUCAGUAGUAAAAUCUAAAGCUACUGCCGCUUAUAUACGGAAUCAAAGCGCUAAAAGCGUUGAUUUUGGCUGCUAAUCAAUGUGUAAAAUAUUGGAAAGAAAGUGACAUCUGAGGAAUUCUUAAGGACACGUCACGGCUGAGAUAGUUUAGCAUUAUUACAAUACACAGUCGGUAUUGAAAUUGUGUUUCCAAUACAUGUGCUCAUUAGAUAAAUCCUCAAUAUCUAUGUGAAAAUAAGGGAUGUGUUUUGUAUGAUUGCAACACUGUGAGUUGCUCUAAUUACUGACAAAUGACUGAAACAAUAGGAAUUCGUACGAGACAUGGAUAGACAAAAUGACAGUAUAUAUAUUCUUAUAUAGUUUUAAUGUAUGAGUUGUAAGCUACAAUAUAGAAUACCCAUUUUAUGAAAAUCAAACUCGAAGUUAAUAAUAACUGAAAAAAAUUAAUUAGGUCAUGAGUCAUCAUAUACCUGUCAAAAGUUGUCAUUAAUUUUCACGAGCUGUCAAAAUUAUUUUUAUCUCUCUAUUCUACAAAUGCAUUGUUUUUGAAAGUAUCUUGUUCGGAUAUUGUAGUGUUUAACUUACUUUAAAUUCCACAUUAAUAUUUGUGCUUGAAAUUGCUUUGUUGAGCUCACCGAAGUCACAUAUGAAUGUCUGUUGUUUUAGUUAAUUGUCUGUUAUAAAGGUACCAAUUCUCAAUAUCAAGAUAUAAGAAUUGUUCCUUUCUGGUAGACAAAGGAAACUAUUUGGUUGAAUCAUAAUAUAAAGGUUUAUGAAAAGAACUGAAUAUUUUUUGUUUUUAUUUGUUUUUUUUUUGUUUUUUUUUUGUUAUUCACCGGAAAUUCAAAAUGUGACAUCACCUUAAUAUAAACCAGAAAAAAACGUUUUUUUUGCAAAAUAUCAGCUAUUGUUUUGAAAUUAAUCCUUUUUCACAGCCAGUCAUUGUUUACAGACAAACUGAUUCAGUCUUGGUCCUUUUUGAUUAUUUGUGACGAAAAAAAACAAAGACAAAUAUCAAACAGGGAAUGCCGAAAACUACAAGAUAAGUUACAACGACGGUGUUUUUACUAUUAUAAAUAAAUAAUAUAUAUAAUUUCUUUCGUUUGAGCAGACGAAUUAGAAAGAAAUUAUUUUUCCUUAAAGCAAUUAAAGUCUCCGCUAGGGGUAGCUAUAUCGCUAUAUAUGUUUCUCACGAAGUUAUCGUGCGUAUCAAGAACUGAUUGUUAGUUAGUUUAGCUUUGGGUUUCUGACAAAUCACUACACGGAAAAAGUUUUAAUUUUUUUGAAUAUUUAAUGUUAUUACUGGUUAGACGGAAACAAA